rnacentral:rRNA from 1 species
UGGGGAAUAUUGCACAAUGGGCGCAAGCCUGAUGCAGCAACGCCGCGUGAGGGACGACGGCCUUCGGGUUGUAAACCUCUUUUGGCAGGGAAGAAGCGAAAGUGACGGUACCUGCAGAAAAAGCACCGGCUAACUACGUGCCAGCAGCCGCGGUGAUACGUAGGGUGCAAGCGUUGUCCGGAAUUAUUGGGCGUAAAGAGCUCGUAGGCGGUUUGUCGCGUCUGCUGUGAAAACCCGAGGCUCAACCUCGGGCCUGCAGUGGGUACGGGCAAACUAGAGUGCGGUAGGGGAGAUUGAAAUUCCUGGUGUAGCGGUGGAAUGCGCAGAUAUCAGGAGGAACACCGACGGCGAAGGCAGAUCUCUGGGCCGUAACUGACGCUGAGGAGCGAAAGCAUGGGGAGCGAACA